AUCGAACGCUGGCGGCAGGCCUAACACAUGCAAGUCGAGCGAGCUGCGGACGGGUGAGUAAUGUAUGGGGACUGCCCGAUAGAGGGGGAGAACUACUGGAAACGGUGGCUAAUACCGCAUACUAUCGGAUAACCCAUAUGGGAUUAGUUAGUAGGUGGGGUAAAGGCUCACCUAGGGGACGAUCUCUAGCUGGUCUGAGAGGAUGAUCAGCCACACUGGGACUGAGACACGGCCCAGACUCCUACGGAGGCAGCAGUUGGGAAUAUUGCACAAUGGGCGCAAGCCGGAUGCAGCCAUGCCGCGUGAAUGAAGAAGGCCUUAGGGUUGUAAAAUACUGUCAACAGGGAAGCGUUAACCGCAGAAGAAGCACCGGCUAACUCCGUGCCAGCAGCCGCGGUAAUAC
rnacentral:rRNA from 1 species